rnacentral:rRNA from 1 species
GUGAGGAAUAUUGGACAAUGGGCGCAAGCCUGAUCCAGCCAUGCCACGUGCAGGAAGACGCAUCUAUGGUGUGUAAACUGCUUUUGUACGGGAAGAAACACUCCCUCGCGAGGGAGCUUGACGGUACCGUAAGAAUAAGGAUCGGCUAACUCCGUGCCAGCAGCCGCGGUAAUACGGAGGAUCCAAGCGUUAUCCGGAAUCAUUGGGUUUAAAGGGUCCGUAGGCGGUUUAAUAAGUCAGUGGUGAAAGCCCAUCGCUCAACGAUGGAACGGCCAUUGAUACUGUUAGACUUGAAUUACAAGGAAGUAACUAGAAUAUGUAGUGUAGCGGUGAAAUGCUUAGAUAUUACAUGGAAUACCAAUUGCGAAGGCAGGUUACUACUUGUGGAUUGACGCUGAUGGACGAAAGCGUGGGGAGCGAACAGGAUUAGGUACCCCUGUAGUCC